rnacentral:lncRNA from 1 species
GGGGGGCUCAGGCUGGAGAAAAGGAGGCUCAGGGGGAAUUUGUGGCUCUGCACAACUCCCUGCCAGGAGGGGACACUGGGGGGGAAUUCGGGAUCUCAUCCAGCCCAAGAUACUCCAUGAUUCCGUGUAAACGCCUUGGAGUUUCACAAAAGGUCAUUUGCUGUUGAAAUUAAAAAAUGUUUUUAAGACUUAAAGGACUUCAAAGCUGUGGGCAGGUGGGGAUCCAUGGGCCAGGUGAGGUGACAGGGUCAGGGUCAGUGCAGGUGACAGGGUCUGUGCAGGUGACAGGGAAUUGCUCAGUGCAGUGACAGGGUCAGGGUCUGUGCAGGUGACAGGGUCUGUGCAGGUGACAGGGAAUUGCUCAGUGCAGUGACAGGGUCAGGGUCUGUGCAGGUGACAGGGUCUGUGCAGGUGACAGGGAAUUGCUCAGUGCAGUGACAGGGUCAGGGUCUGUGCAGGUGACAGGGUCUGUGCAGGUGACAGGGAAUUGCUCAGUGCAGUGACAGGGUCAGGGUCUGUGCAGGUGACAGGGUCUGUGCAGGUGACAGGGAAUUGCUCAGUGCAGUGACAGGGUCAGGGUCUGUGCAGGUGACAGGGUCUGUGCAGGUGACAGGGAAUUGCUCAGUGCAGUGACAGGGUCAGGGUCUGUGCAGGUGACAGGGUCUGUGCAGGUGACAGGGAAUUGCUCAGUGCAGUGACAGGGUCAGGGUCUGUGCAGGUGACAGGGUCUGUGCAGGUGACAGGGAAUUGCUCAGUGCAGUGACAGGGUCAGGGUCUGUGCAGGUGACAGGGUCUGUGCAGGUGACAGGGAAUUGCUCAGUGCAGUGACAGGGUCAGGGUCUGUGCAGGUGACAGGGUCUGUGCAGGUGACAGGGAAUUGCUCAGUGCAGUGACAGGGUCAGGGUCUGUGCAGGUGACAGGGAUGGGUCUGGGCUGGUGACAGGGUCAGUGCAGGUGACAGGAUCAGUGCAGGUGACAGGAUCAGGAUCUGUGCAGGUGACAGGAUCAGGGUCAGUGCAGGUGACAGGGAUGGGUCUGUGCAGGUGACAGGGUCAGG